GCAUGCCAUCAUACCAGCACUAAAGCACCGAAUCCCAUCAGAACUUCAAAGUUAAGCGUGCUUGAGCGAGACUAGUACUAGGAUGGGUGACCUCCUCGGAAGUCCUCGUGUUGCAAUCC
rfam:Hordeum vulgare subsp. vulgare, WGS project CAJW01000000 data, contig: morex_contig_724955